ensembl:lncRNA
UCUUUUGUGGGUUAUUUCACAGCCAAAUUUGAUGUGCGAUUAAUAUGUGAUUAAUUAGAUUAUUCAAUUGCCAAACUGUGUAAUUAAUUAGAUAAAAAAAUGUAAACAAUUGACAGCCCUAGUAGAAAUACUCCAAACUCGAUAGUCUUCAGGGACUAAGAUGUAUAAUAAUACAAAAGCAGGACGUCCUAUCAGAAGCCAACAUCUCAGAGAAUUGGUAAUCUUUGCAUUACAGCUGCACUCAUCACAGAGCUUGAUGAAGCACCUCAGUGGGUGAUGGAUGGGCUUCUGUGUUCAGUUUCCCGCGGGAUCGCUGUCUUGGAUGGUGAUGUUGAGUGGUGUCCCUCCACAUCUAUAGGAACAAAUCAUGGCGUCAGGUGGUGUGGCGCUCUCACUCACCCUUGCUCAGCUGAGUCACUCUUACCAUAGCGAAUACCUGCUUUAUAUCUCUCACUGACAGUGAAGAUCAAUAGUGAUGCCUCGCUCGGUGGGUGACGGUUGGGGUCCAAUUCAGCUUCUCGUGGGAGACUAACGCCUCCUGUGCUGUGGUGCAUGAGAAAUAACAACAACAGCAAUAAUAAUACAUUUGCAAAUAAGCUGUGAUGCAGUGACUACCAAUGGGAGAAAAGAAAGUGGUCGGCCACCUGAUACAGCUGGAUAUGGAAGAAGACAAAUAAUAAGAACCAUAAAAGAAUAAGAAUAACAGAAAAAACUAAAAUAAAAAUGUAUAAUUUAAUAGUAAUAGUAAAUAGUAGGCCUUCAUGUAUAAUUAUCAAUUGUGUAAUAAUAAAAUAAGUUUUAUAAUUAUAUGUAUAAUAACUACAAAUAAUUGACUUUUUCAAAAUAAAAAUAAAAAUAGUACAGGAGAUCGCUGGAGACUAGAAGGUGAGUACACAGGAGAUCGCUGGAGACUAGAAGGUGAGUACACAGGAGAUCGCUGGAGACUAGAAGGUGAGUACAGGAGAUCGCUGGAGACUAGAAGGUGAGUACACAGGAGAUCGCUGGAGACUAGAAGGUGAGUACACAGGAAAUCGCUGGAGACUAGAAGGUGAGUACAGGAGAUCGCUGGAGACUAGAAGGUGAGUACACAGGAGAUCGCUGGAGACUAGAAGGUGAGUACAGGAGAUCGCUGGAGACUAGAAGGUGAGUACACAGGGGAUCGCUGGAGACUAGAAGGUGAGUACACAGGGGAUCGCUGGAGACUAGAAGGUGAGUACACAGGAGAUCGCUGGAGACUAGAAGGUGAGUACAGGAGAUCGCUGGAGACUAGAGGGUGAGUACAGGAGAUCGCUGGAGACUAGAAGGUGAGUACACAGGAAAUCGCUGGAGACUAGAGGGUGAGUACAGGAGAUCGCUGGAGACUAGAAGGUGAGUACACAGGAGAUCGCUGGAGACUAGAAGGUGAGUACAGGAGAUCGCUGGAGACUAGAAGGUGAGUACACAGCGGAUCGCUGGAGACUAGAAGGUGAGUACAGGAGAUCGCUGGAGACUAGAAGGUGAGUACACAGAGGAGACUAGAAGGAGAGUACAGGAGAUCGCUGGAGACACAGAGGUGAGUAUAGAUCACUGGAGACUUAAAAUGGAACAGGUAAGACUUUGAUGAAGGAAAAUCACUUAAGGAUCCUUUACAGGCACAAGGAGUGGUCUAAGAGUCCAUAAGGGUGACCAGGCAAUGGGUGCUUCUCAAAUGGAAGGGCACUUCAUUAUAAGGCUGUAUAUCCAAGCUGCCACAUUAUCAAGCUCCAUCUAAGGAUGUCUCGAUGUUAAGGAUCCUUAGUAGGCAGUCUAAUUUACAAUGGAAGCCUGUGUGGGGCAAGACUUUGCAUUGGAAUAAACAUUUCAAAACCAUAAAACGUAUACAUUAUACAUGUUAACAUAAACUUUAUGAUAAAAUGGUUACUAACCAUAUAAGCAACGUUAUAUUCAUUUUUAACUGCUGUGAUGACAAUGUAAAUCCAGUAAUUUUCGCAUGACACACGUGGAUACUAGAAACGGAAUGUGUGUUAACAGAGCACACUUGGUAAUACUUUAUUUUACAGUGUCAUUUUUACAUGUUAUGUGCAAUUACUAUAGUAUAAUAACAGUAAAUAAUGCAUAACGCCUUGCAACUAAGUCUAAAUCAAAGCCCUAAUCCUUUAGUAAGUACAUGUUGUUAAUUAAAUAUUCCUCAGUGUACUUAAAUGUAAAAAAAGAAAUAAAAAAGAAUCAAUAAAAUAGUUUUAACCAAACUAUGCACUUUUAAAUCUUCUGUAAUCGUGUACUUCAUAGUUGUCUUUCGUAAACUGAUUUCUGUAAACACAUUCUUGUGGAAUUAACGUCUUUAUUAUUUGUCUGCUCUCUUAACAGGGACCUAAGCAGUGCUGAGAUUCUCCAGGAUCAGUACAGUCUGCUUGGAAGACAAACAGCAGUAUACUGGCGCAGUUUGGCCGCAGGUGGACAAAGAUUGCCAAACUAAUCGGCACUAGGACAGUUCUACAGGCGAAGAGCUAUGCUAGGCAGUGCUUCAAAAAUAAGGUCACUAUAGCCACCCAGAUCCAGUCUGUAUCCAGAUCAGAUGGUCACUGCAGUGGCCCGGAUCCAGUCCAGAUGGUGGAUCAGCACCUAGAGACGACCAGGACAACCCUGAAUGUCAGAAGAGAUCAUGUCAACUAGAAGAGUCCCAAAGACAGAUCCCCAGCGAAAGACCUCGUCAACUAUAGGGCCACUGGCACAAAACCUCAGCAAAGACCAUGAUGAACCACAUCAUAUUCGUCAGUGGAGAAUUGCUCCUCCCCACAGAUUGAGUCUGGUUACUACCAAGGUUUUUUCUCCAUUUCGUAUUGCCUUUGGCUUGCUUAGGUGGGGACACUGCAUUUUUGGGGUUAUUAACGACUUGAUUUCACAGACAAUAUAUGAAGAGAACUGAACUGAGCUGGAUGAUGAUGACAUCAAUGAGUCAACGAUGAACUGACUUUUACUGAAAUAUUGCCUGUUUAUUUUUUUACUUUUUAGAGCUGCUUUACAGCAUAACUGAAUUUUGUUUGCAUUAUCUACACUAUUUUCCUGUUUAACAAUGUAAAGCUGCUAUUACACAAUCUGUUUUGUAUAAAGCACUAUAUAUA